rnacentral:rRNA from 1 species
GACGAACCGAGCGAACGUUGUUCGGAAUCACUGGGCUUAAAGGGCGCGUAGGCGGGCAUCAUAGUCUGGGGUGAAAUCCGGCAGCUUAACUGUCGAAUUGCCAUGGAUACUGGGUGUCUCGAGGGAGGCAGGGGUGCGCGGAACUGAUGGUGGAGCGGUGAAAUGCGUUGAUAUCAUCAGGAACGCCGGUGGCGAAGGCGGCGCACUGGUCCUUUUCUGACGCUGAGGCGCGAAAGCCAGGGGAGCAAACGGG